CGACGUUAAAUCCUCAAAACUUUUUCGUACAAAGCAUUCCUACACAAUCAGUCGAGAUUUUAAACUAGGAGCAUAUAUCUAUACUGUAGGAGUUACAAAGUACUCGACUCGCUUAGUAUGGAGUGUAUUGACGUCCCAAACUGCGGGACAGCCGAGUAAUAAUAAAGCAAAUAUCGAUUAUAUCUCGGCCAAUUCCAAAAAAAUACUCAACAAUUCUAUAAUGAGAUCCACAGUGGAAAACGUUCACGUAAUUAGAAAAAAAUACGAGGAAUAUCUUCCACGGCACAUAAGAGUACUCCAAUUUGCGAGGUCGCUGGGAUAUCGAUGUGGGAUGGAGCUUGAAAUCCUCAGUGAUACAAGUUUGCCAAGUCCGACACCGAGGAAGAACAUGGAGCCGUCCAAUUCUAGGGCGGAAACCACACGCCUACAUCAGAUGAAAACCCAUAAAUCUCUUAUCAACACUUUUGAAGAUCCUUCCUCAGCCACAGUUUCGCAACUCUUGGUUCUGUCUACCCCAUAAAAUAAUAAAUAUGUGUCACGAUC